GAAAGAGAGGCUGGGAGUAAGUCACCAUGACUAAGCAAGAGAGAGGAAAAACCCGCCGCCCCGCUUUCACAAUAAGAGUCCCAGUUGCAGCGCCGAUGGGAGAGCAGGGAGGAAGAGGAGGAGCGGCAUUUUGGGGGAUGCCUUCCCGCAGAGGAUGGAGCUGCUAGGGCCCCUUCCACACAGCCGAAGAAAACCCCACAUUAUCUGCUUUGAUUGGAAUGUGGACUCAGAUAACCCAGUUCAAAGCAGAUAUUCUGGGAUUUUGCUCCUUAUUCCCUGUGUGGAGAUCAAGAAAAGGCGAUCCUGCAUCCACUGAUUCAACCAUCCACAGCUUGAAAAUAUUCCCCCAAAAAGACAUUCCAAAAAAUAUGCAAAGCUUGAUUUGGGGGGUUUUAUAUAAGGGACAUCAUUUUCCUAUGCCAUCGUAGGUAAUGAAGUUGGAGCAUCUGCAGAUUUUAGUACACACAGGGGGUCCUGGAUGAAAACCUCAGCGGAUACCAAGCAUCCACCGUACUUGGAAAUCUUCAAUAUAAGUGUACAUGUGUAUCACCUAUGUACCCACCGCCAAGACACUACACUUGGAAGGCCAUCAUACUCGAACGAGGGAUUGCCUAUGUAAGUACAUACACAUACACACAAAGAUGACUGUGAGAGAAAGAAAUUUGAAACUGAGGAAGUCUGUUUUCACUUUCAAGGUAAAGAGAGACACAAUCACUGUAUUGUCUGUUGUUUCUUUCACUUCCUGGGCCUUGGGCUGCAGAGUGGAGAAAGCAGAAAUUAUUCUGGGUGUGUUUCUUGUUUCACCUGAGAAAUGGGAUUGAGAGAGCAGAGCUUGGGAAAAACACUGUUUUGAACUAUAAUUCCCAGAACCUCCCAAAAUGCUAUGGAUCUUGGAAUAUAAGGCUUUGCCAACAUCACCUGUUUUUGUUGCCUUGUCAAAAAAGAAAACAAAAGGCGAACUUGCGUUCUCUUAACCUGGCGUUAAUACACUAAAGUAGCUUUAAUGCUUAGUGCAGUGGGAGAAACAGACUGUGUCGUUGUAGUGGCAUCUUUUUUAUUGUUAACUGCAGUCAAAUCAACUUCAACGCAUGGCGACCCUAUGGAUGAGAAGUCUCCAUGUCACCCUGUCAUGAACAGGAUCUUGUAGACCCAGAGAUGUGGCUUUCGUGACGGAAUUCAUCCUCCUUCCCCCUUUUUCUUCUAUUUAUUUGUUGUGUCAGGAACGAACCAAUGGUACAAGUUGUAAUGUAUUUGAAAACACAAAGUUUUUUUUAAAAAACUUGGCAUUAUACUAAAUGUCUUUUGACCAGUAGCUGGCCACUUGGAGUGUCUCAGGUGUUGCUGUAAGAAGGUCCACCAUUGUGCAUGUGGCAGGGCUCAGACUGCAUUGUAAUAGGUGGUUUGUGGUUUGCUCUUCUUCACACUCGAAUGUCGUGGACUCCAUUUCUUAAGGUUGGCUCUGCAUCUCGUGGUGCCAGAGCGCAGUCUGUUCAGCGCUUUCCAAGUUGCCCAGUCUUCUUUGUGCCCAGGAGAGAGUCUCUCAUCCGGCAUCAGCCACUGAUUGAUGUUCCAGGUUUUAGCCUGCCACUUUUGGACUCUCGCUUGCUGAGGUGUUUCUGUGAGUAUCUCUGUAGAGCUUAGAAAACUAUUUCUUGAUUUAAGGCAUUGGCAUGCUGACUGAGACCCGAACAGAGGAUGGACUGGAGAUGUCAAUGCCUUGGUCCUUUCAUUGCUGGUUGCUACUUCCCCGCGAGUGUCCAGUGGUGCAAUGCUUGCUAAACAGUAUAAUUUCUCCAGUGGUGUGGAGCAUAGACAUCCUGUGAUGAUGCGGCAUGUUUCAUUAAGAGCCACGUCCACUGUUUUAAUGUGGUAAGAUGUAUUCCACACUAGGCAUGCAUAUUCAGCAGCAGGUAAGGUAAAGGUUUCCCCUGACGUUAAGUCCAGUCAUGUCUGACUCUGGGGGUUGGUGCUCAUCUCCAUUUCUAAGAUGAAGAGCCAGCGUUGUCCGUAGACACCUCCAAGGUCAUGUGGCCGGCAUGACUGCAUGGAGUGCUGUUACCUUCCCGCUGGAGCGGUACCUAUUGAUUUACUCACAUUGGCAUGUUUCCAAACUGCUAGGUUGGCAGAAGCUGGAGCUAACAGCAGGCUCUCACUCCGCUCCCGGGAUUUGAACCUGGGACCUUUCGGUCUGCAAGUUCAGCAGCUCAGUGCUUUAACACACUUCACCACCGGGGUUCAUAUUCAGCAGUACACUGCCAUAAAUUUCAUAUCAAAGCAGAUAAUGUGGGAUUUUAUCCAGCUGUGUGGAAGAAGCAAGAAAGCUUCAGUGGAAAGAUCUUUCCCCCAUGAUAACUCUUCCAGUUAUCUAUUUCUCUCACUUCCUGUUGUCUCACUCCCGUUCUUAGCUAUGAGUUGUUUGUAAGUCAGAUGUCUGUAGCUCAGAGAUUGCCUGUAAUCUAUUUUCUUCCUAUCCACCUUCUUCACUGUCUAGCUUUUAUAACCCAGAUAAAAAUCGGAAAUAUAAUGGCAUGGGAAAUCCUAACUUUAGUAUCCUUAUAGAUCUUGUCAUGUUUCUUCAUAGCUGCCCUUCCAAGUCCUCGACUUCUUCUGAUUUCAGUACUAUAGUCCCCACUGCGAUUAAUGUUUGAGCUUAAGUGUGCAAUAUCUCAAACUCUUUCGAUUUCUUUAUCAUGUAAUUUAAAGUUACAUAAAUCACUUGCAGUCAUUUUUGUUGUCUUAAUGUUCAGUCAUCAAUCUGACUAUGCACUUUCUUCCUUGACUUCCUUCAAUGAUCAUUCCACGUCCCUUUUAUAUUCUGCUAAUAGUAUGGUGCCGUGUUAAACUUGGGAGUGUAUGAGUCAUUGUAUCUUUCAAAAGGUUGUGCCCCAAGGCAGGUGUGGGUAUGUGAUGCCCUUAAGGCAGUGGUUCUCAACUUGUGGGUCCCCAGUUGUUUUGGCCUAUAACUCUCAGAAAUCCCAUCCAGUUUACCAGCUGUUAGGAUUUCUGGGAGUUGAAGGCCAAAACAUCUGGGGACCCAGAGGUUGAGAACCACUGCCUUAAGGUAAUGUUGGGCUGCAACUCCCAUCAGUCUGAGACACCAUAAGUAAGGAACGAAGGGAAUGGCAGGCUGACAAAGUCUGGAAAAGCUAUAUGUCCAUGAUCCCAGUCCUGUCGUUAACUGCUGUGAAGUUAACUGGCUUAUGGUAUUGGUAUGGAAGAGAGACCUCGAAGUCCCCUAUUAACAACAACCCUACUCCUUCCUUAACCGAGUCUAUCCACCUAGAAUACAGUCUUCUGUCCUUUAUCUCACCUGAUAUUAUUGUCUUUUCUAAUGAGUCAUGUCUUUCCAUGAUAAGUCCAAAGUCUGGCAGUUUCAGUUUACUCAUCGUUGCUUCUAGAAAACUUGCUCUCAGGCUUAAUUAUUUGUUUUUAACGGGCCAUGGAUUCCACAGAACUCUAUCACCACAUUUCGAAUGAGUCCGUUCUUUCCCUAUCAGCUAUCUGAACUGUCCAGUUUUCACAACCAUACAUUAAAGAAAUGGAAAUACAGUGGUAUGGGCAGUCCUAACUUGAUUAUUCAACUAGCUUGGGUACCUGGUGAUACCCGGGUUAUUUGAAAGGGGCUUUGUUUUUUUUGGAUGUGAGGUCGUAUCAGUUUAUUUAUUUAUUUACAGUAUUUAUAUUCCACCCUUCUCACCCCGAAGGGGACUCAGGGCGGAUCACAUUACACAUAUAGGCAAACAUUCAGUGCCUUUUAACAUAGAACAAAGACAAACAAACAUAGGCUCCGAGCGGGGCUCGAACUCAUGACCUCCUGGUCAGAGUGAUUCAUUGCAGUUAAUUGCACUGGCUUGCUCUCCCGUCUGCGCCACAGCCCACAGCAUAUGUUACGCUAUGUCGUAGAAAAACACUCAGUCUUUGCUUUUGUUUUUUAUGAAUGCGCCCAUUAGAAAAUGCAUAAGGAUGUGGGUGAACUACAAUUCCCAAAAACCUUGGGUCAACCAUCCCAAAUCUCCAGUAUUCACAGUCUGCCAUGUUGGGACUGUGUGCCAAGUGUGGUCCAGAUCUGUCACUUGCUGGGUUCAGUGUUCUCUGAAUAUGGGUGAACUAUAACUCUCUGGUGCCAUUGCAGAGCUGGCCCUAGAUAUUUUUCAAGUGUAGGCGAACAGUAUUUUGCCCCCCCCUCCCCCCGCAACCAAUAACUAAAAAAUAAAAGCGUUGGAUAAGCAAAAAUGUUUGAUAAUAAGGAGGGAUUAAGGAAAAGCCUAUUAAACAUCAAAUUACAUUAAGAUUUUACAAAUUAAGCACUAAAACAUCAUGUUUUACAACAAAUCAACAGAAAAAGAAGUUCAAUACCUUGCGGAGGCAGGCCGCAGGAGACAGGAGUUGCCUCGAUGGCGCCCCCAACAGGAUGGCGCCACAGGCAACUGCCUAGUUGGCCUGGUGGUUGAACCACCUCUGGGUGCCAUGGUCAAUCACCCGCAAAGCCUUCCAGUAUUCCCAGUUGGUCGUGUUGAAUUUGUGUACCAAGUUUGGUCCAGAUCUGUCAUCAGAUGGGUUCAGUGUUCUCUGAAUAUGGGUGAACUAUAACUCCUGGAUGUCAAGGUCAAUCAUCCGCAAACCCCGCCAGUUUACAAAUUUGGUCAUGUUGGGUCUGUGUACCAAGUUAGUUCCAGGUCCAUCGUUGGAUGGGUUCAGAGUGCACUUAGAUUGCAGGUGAACUAUACAUCCCAGUCCUUACAACUCCUAUAAAUCAUGGUGAAUUCUCCCCAAACCUCUCCAGUAUGUUUAGUUGCUGAUCAAUUCCUCUGUUUGCUGUGUGCUAUAGAAAAGGGUAGGAAAGGGUUAAGGGAGAGGUAGUGGAUGGGGUCAUGCAAAUGGUGAGAGAAAGGAACAAUGGGAUGUGCUUGCUGUAACCUGCAAUGUCCUGGGAGGGAGUGACUUGGUGGCUCCUCAGCUUUGGAAACUAUAGCCUGUUUGUGGAGGCCAGAGGCUGUGAGUGGCAGACACCCAUACCACAUACACAUAUAUUAUGUGUAUAGAAGAUAGAAGAUGAUACAUAUAGCUUUACAGAUCUUGGCUUGUUUAUUCAUAGCUGCCCUUUCAAAUCCUAGUCAAGCGAUUUCUUGACUGCAGUCUUCAUUUUGAUUAAUGAUUGAGCCAAGAUAUGGAACAUCUUGAACUAUCUGUGUCUUCGUCAUCUACUGUAAAGUUACAUAACCUGCAGUCAUUUUCAUUUUCUUAAUGUUCAGCUGUAAACCUGUUUUUUCACUUUCUUUUUAAUGACUUUAACAUUUGUUCCAAAUCUUUGCUGUUUUCUGAGAAUACUAUGGUGUCAUCUGCAUGUACAGUAUUGUUGUUGGUGUCCUUCAAUGUUCAUGUUCUCUUCCACACAGCCAUAUAACCCAGAAUAUCAAGGCAGAAAAUCCCACAUUGUCUGCUUUGAACUGGAAUAUAUGGCAGUGUAGACUCAGAUAACCCAGUCCAAAGCAGAUAUUGUGGGAUUUUCUGCCUUGAUAUUCUGGGUUAUAUGGCUGUGUGGAAGGGCCCUGUGAAACUCAUGUGAAAUUUAUGUUGUCGCUUUAAAUCCUAAAUCGAGGUGAAGACACAUUUUCCUCAGGGUAGCACCAUGUGCCAAUCAAAAAGCGGGCAGGCAGCAGUCUCUGGGAGAAAAUGUGUGCCUUAGCAACCAAUCAAAAGUGGCGGGAGGGGAUGCAGUUUCUAUUUCCUUUUUUCUUAUUGGCGGAAAGUGAGCAAAGAGAAGAGAGACAACAAAGGCAUUGCAGACAGGGGCCCUCCUCCAUUUUUGUUUUAUUCUCCGCGCAUGCGCCCUAAGAAUGGAGGCGGUUGUCCCUAUGGGUGGCGCGCUGCAGAGGUACACGUGAGGCAAUACGUGUCUUUGUGGAAAUUUAUGUGAAAGGUGAAGAGGAGUAAGAGGAGGUGUGUUUGUGUGACAGAAGUCGAUUUUUUUUUGUGAGGGAGAGGCCUCAUGUGUCUUUGUGAAGAAAAAAAAAGAAAAGAAAGAAACAUAAAGUUGGAAGAGACCCAAGGAUCAUCCAGUCCAACCCCUUUCUGCCAUGCAGGAACACAAUCAAAGCACACCUAACAGAUGGCCAUCCAACCUAUGCAUAAAAACUACUGGAGAAGGAAACACCUCUGCACUCUGAGGAAGAGCAACCGGAGUUGCUUCUGGAGUUAGAGAAUUGGCAGUCUGCAAGGACGUUGCCCAGGGGACGCCCGGAUGUUUUUGAUGUUUUACCAUCCUUGUGGGAGGCUUCUCUCAUGUCCCCCAUGGAGCUGGAGCUGAUAGAGGGAGCUCAUCCACGCUCUCCCUGGGUGGGAUUCGAACCUGGCAGCUUUCAGGUGGUCAACAUUGCUGCCUUUGCUAUUUGGUUCUUCUAUCAAACUCCUGAGAGAAAGCAGUGUUGGGAUCAAAUACUAUGCCAAAGGCUAUUGAAAACCAGUAAUUAUGUUACAUUGCCCAGCAGCAGCUGUUGGGAUGUGGAUUUUUCCAGGAUGCUGGUGGCAAAACUACUUUAGGUUUUAGUGCAAAGGAGUCUUCCAAAAUACUGAGCCAUGCCCUCCAAAACGUUGGGUCCCAUGCUGAGAAAAUGGCAGGAUAUAAGUUGAGGCUCCAAGAAAGAAAAGUGGAAAAAUACAAAGGAAAUGGCUACAGUACUGUGUUCAGAAAUGGCCAUGUUCUCCUUGGGUUGGAGAAGGAGAUAACCUUAUAUUGGCUUUCCAGCAGAGACUGGCAAGUGAUGCAUGGUUCCAGACAGUCAUCGCAUACUAACCUGGGACUUUUCCACGGAGGCAGUGUGCUUAUCGCACAUAGGGCUGAUCUCCAUGCCUCGUUCCCGUUCUUUGUCUCCCUGCCUGAAGAACUCCUCCAUGAUCCGGUCUGUCCAUUGGCGAUACAGCUCUAGAGGCUUUGUGGGGUUGCUCAAGUCUGCACAGUGGACCAUGUUCCGUAGGACCUGGUUGCAUUGGGGAGAAAAAGGUAAGACUCUCAAAGCUGCAAGCAAACCCUUUGGAAAGGAGAAUUGGGCCAAUACUACCUUUGCUCAGAAGGAGACUUCUGAAGAAGAUGCUGAAAGAUAGAGCUCUGUACUAUCUAAACUAUAGAGAGCUAUCACUGGAUGUGAUGGAAGAUACUGCCAUAUUAUCAGAGUUGAACUAAGACUCAUCUGCCACUGCAGUCAGCUUCUGUAUAUCAAAGCUCUGCCUGAGACAGCAAAAUGAUAUGAGUCAGACCUGGCUGUAAGGUAUGUGUGCAUGUUAAUGGAGUCCCCAAUGGCGCAGUGGAUUAAACCACUUAGCUGUUGAAUCUGCUGUCUGAAAGGUUGGCGGUUCGAAUCCAGGGAGCAAGGUGAGCUCCUGCUGUUAGCCCCAGCUUCUGCCAGCCUAGCAGUUCGAAAACAUGCAAAUGUGAGUAGGUUAAUAGGUACUGCUCCGGCGGGAAGGUAACAGCACUCCAUGCAGUCGUGCCAGCUAAAUGACCUAGGAGGUAUUUAUGGACAACGCUGGCUCUUCGGCUUAGAAAUGAAGAUGAGUACCAACCUCCAGAGUCGGACAUGACUGAACUUAAUGUCAGGGGAAAACCUUUACCUUUACCUAGUACUAUGAACAGGAGGAAAAUUCCUAGAUUAUUUUUGAAAGUUGGGAAUAAUGUGAAUUAGAAGGUCUGUAAUGAGUGGGAAUAACACUGCUUUUCUGAGCAUUAAAUAGUAUUUGGUUUGAAAUAAGAAAUCACCUUCUGGCCACUUUCUGACUAUGGCUACCUGGACUCGGUCCGAAAAACAACAACAAAAUUUCCCUUCCCUCAAGAAUAUAGGAUUUCACCCAAGCAUUGCCUACCUGUAUUCUGUCAGUGUAGUUGUCCAAUAGGAGGACUCCGGAGCUGGUCACCUUUUUGGUUUCCACCAUGGUCUUCAGAUCAGCCAAGAGACUCAUAUGCUUGGACAUGUCAGUGGCCAGGACCUGUAGAAUCACAAAUCAGAAUAUUAAGGACAGAGUAAGGAUACUUCAUCUUAGUACAUGAAGCUCCUCCCAGGUUGUAUUUCUUUCCCUGUCCCAGGCAAACUAGUGUAAUUUUUUAAAAUCCACAAAUCUCAUACAAACCAGAGGAUGUGGGUUUUCUUUUAGCAAGAGUAGGGCAAGUGCACCUUCAGAUGUGGGACUGCAACUGCUGGCAUCAUUAGAGUUAGUGUCACCCUCAAACCAUGCAGAAUCCUAAGUUUUUGCUUUGUAUUAAUAUUACUUGUAAAUUGUAAUUCCCAUACACAGUAGUCUCACUUAUCCAACAUAAAUGGGCCGGCAGAAUGUUGGAUAAGCGAAUAUGUUGGAAAAUAAGGAGGCAUUAAGGAAAAGCCUAUUAAACAUCAAAUUAGGUUAUAAUUUUACAAAUGAAGCACCAAAACAUCAUGUUAUACAACAAAUUUGACAGAAAAAGUAGUUCAAUACGCAGUAAUGCUACGUAGUAAUUACUGCAUUUACGAAUUUAGCACCAAAAUAUCAGAUGUAUUGAAAACAUUGACUGCAAAAAUGCAUUGGAUAAUCCAGAAUGUUGGAUAAGCGAGUGUUGGAUAAGUGAGAUUCUACUGUACCACUAAAUGCAAUGAUAAAAUCAGUGACUGUACAAAAUCAUUAGGAACGAAAAUGACAGCAUGUGUUUGUAUUGCCACAUCAUUGUAACUGUGUAAUAAUGCCAGCUUUGACCAGAGCACAUGCACAUUAGAAAGUUCAAAAACUAAAUUAGUAUAGCUUAUAGCUAUGCUGAUUCGGUACAUGUAAGAUGGGCUUCCAAAAGCCACCAUAGGGAUAUUUUUAUAUAAAAUAAUACAUUUGCUUCAACACUACACAAAAUUUUUGGUGUCACCCAUUCUGAUGAUGCCACUGGUCUGCACUUCUUGCAUGGCUCUAGUGUUGCCACUGACUAAAAUUCCCAGUCCACAAAUCGUGGUGAAAGUGUUGUAAAGAGCACUUGGAAGGCUCUUCGGGGAGCUAAUUCUCUGCUUGCAGAGGGAUUCUAGGAAGCUACAAUCUCAAAAAGACACUUUUUGAAGCAUGAUUUCUUCCACACAAAAAACAAGAUGGCUAAGCUUAUACCUUAGUUUCCUAAAACAAUGUCCAGGAGGGAAUCUCUGCCAAAGGUGCUGGGCAGACUCAUCCCCCGGAAGUUUGCCUGAGGCUCACCAUGUCUAUCACCAUUUUCCGUAAGGUUUGCCGCUGUCGCUUUGUCAGGUUCUGGAAGAUGUCACAGUUCUCCUCUUGCAGCAGCUUGAAACCCACGGCCAAGUGGUGGUUCUCCAGCACAGACUCGUCGUUGUACAUCAGCGCCAGUUCUGAAUCUGCCAGGCAGAAAGGUCCAGGUUAGAGAGAACAAAAUGAACUUUAAGCAUUUGGAAUAAUUAACUUUAAGGGGGGUUAAUAUAUCUGAUAUAAAGUGGCCUUUAAAAGUCUGAUAAAAUAAAAGGAGCCAGUGUGGUAUCAUGGUUUGGGUGUUGGACUAGGGGUGCAUUUACACUGUUGUUUAAUUCAACUGCCAUGACUCAAGAUUGGGUGGUGGCUUGUAUUUUAGUGUCAUGUCAUGUAUUCCUUUCUGGCCGUUAUUCUUAUCAAGAUGCACAGUAACAGUGUUUUGGUCAAGUGACACAGUUUAGUUUAUAGAACUACUAUCAGUAUUUUAAACUGACAAGCUAAUUUCUCUUUAGAGCCACACCAUAGUUAUGUCUAAGGCUGGACCUACACUGCCCUAUAUCCCAGAAUCUGGUCCCAGAUUAUCUUCUUAUCUCAGAUUAUCUGACAGUGUAGACUCAUAUAAUCCAGUUCAAAGCAACCUGGGUUCAGAUCCUGGGAUAUAGGGCAGUGUAGAUCCAGUCUUCAUGGAGGCAACUGGUUUAGUAGAGCAUGUUUAGAGAUCCAUGACACUUCUGUACCUAGUCUUGUCUUGCUGACCCUUUGUUGUCCUUGCAGCAUUUCUCUGAAUCCUUUUCAAUGUGCUCACACCUCUUUUGAGAUGGCACACACAAGUAAUGAUUGCCAGGGACUCCAGUGGGUCAUAUGCCCAACCCCUAUGUUCCAGAAGAUUAUGCAGCUAUCUCACUUCAUCCAAUACCACGCCCAUUGCACUAUGCAAUUUUGCUGCUUGCUGUUUGAUAUUGUUUUUAUUUUUAUCUAUGUUUCUGUUGUUGAUGGAUCAUUUGUAUUUGUAUUUAAGGGGCACUUGCCCCAUGUGUAAGCCGCCCCAAGUCCCAAUUGGGAGAUGGUGAUGGGGUAUAAAAAUAAAGUUGUUGCUAUUAUCAUUAUUAUUAUUAUUAAUAUUAUUAUUAUGAUUGACUCAAAGAAAUAGUAUGGCACAGCAAACGAGAUAUAUAUAUGCUGGAUUUCGUAUUACAAAAUCACAAGUUGAACACUUCCCAAGUUUUUAGGACUGUGAUGUAUUUUCGGAUGAUGCGUGCAGAUCCCAGUAAGGUGGCCUUUUGCAGUUGACAGAUUGUAAUUUUGUCAAUGUUUAUUGUUUCCAAAUGCUGGCUGAGAUAUUUUGGCACGGCACCCAGUGUGCCAAUUACUACCGGGACCAACUGCACUGGUUUAUGUCAGAACAAUUAUUAUUAUUAUUAUUUGCCCCCAGCCUUAGGGAGCAUGAUAGCAUACUAAGACACAUUAAAGCCAGUCUGGUCAGGGCCAAAAAGGGGCUAUGCAUGCAGGCCUGUAGCCAGGAGGGGAGGUUUAGGGGUUCAACCCCCCCCCCCCCAAAUUUUUCAGGUUAAAAAAAACCCCUGGUUUACUCAUGAAUUUUAACUGGUUAACCAAAUCCCAAUGCUAAGUCUAUGAGAAGCAAAAAAAUUAAGAGUACCUCCAGGCACUAUCUCAAGCAGAUAUUGACAGGUCUGUAGCCAGGGGGAGGGGAGGGUUAGGGGUUCAACCCCUCCUCAAUUUUUUUUCUGGCUACGGCCCUGUAUGCAUGUACUGUAUAUACAAAGCAAAGAUCCAGGAAAACGCUUUUCUCACCAGAUACGUUCACUUCCUUUGAAGGUACUAUUACAAAUUCAAGAAGAGCAUUUAUCUGAGUGGAGCAAGGCCUACUCAGUGGCGAAGCUUCUCAGCCUUUUGGCUAAGAUCAAGUGUAGUACUCAGUGGCUGCCCCAAUACUGCAUUCUUCACACAUCUCCUUCUUUGAUUUAAAGCAUUUUAGUAAUUUGUGUAUUUCUGAAGGUUAGGGAAGGUGGAUGUUUAUUUGCAGGCUGCUAUGUUGCUAUGAGUACUUCAUAUUGGGUUGUUAUAAUUAAAGAGUUUGAAAUUGCCA